rnacentral:rRNA from 1 species
GACGAACGCUGGCGGCGUGCUUAACACAUGCAAGUCGAACGGAAAGGCCCUGCUUUUGUGGGGUGCUCGAGUGGCGAACGGGUGAGUAACACGUGAGUAACCUGCCCUUGACUUUGGGAUAACUUCAGGAAACUGGGGCUAAUACCGGAUAGGAGCUCCUGCUGCAUGGUGGGGGUUGGAAAGUUUCGGCGGUUGGGUAUGGACUCGCGCCUUAUCAUCUUGUUGGUGGGGUAGUGGCUUACCAAGUCUUUGACGGGUAGCCGGCCUGAGAGGGUGACCGGCCACAUUGGGACUGAGAUACGGCACAGACUCCUACGGGAGGCAGCAGUGGGGAGUAUUGCACAAUGGGCGGAAGCCUGAUGCAGCAACGCCGCGUGCGGGAUGACGGCCUUCGGGUUGUAAAAAGCUUUAGCCUGUGACGAAGCGUGAGUGACGGUAAUGGGUAAAGAAGCACCGGCUAACUACGUG